rnacentral:rRNA from 1 species
GAGCGGACAGAUGGGAGCUUGCUCCCUGAUGUUAGCGGCGGACGGGUGAGUAACACGUGGGUAACCUGCCUGUAAGACUGGGAUAACUCCGGGAAACCGGGGCUAAUACCGGAUGGUUGUUUGAACCGCAUGGUUCAAACAUAAAAGGUGGCUUCGGCUACCACUUACAGAUGGACCCGCGGCGCAUUAGCUAGUUGGUGAGGUAACGGCUCACCAAGGCAACGAUGCGUAGCCGACCUGAGAGGGUGAUCGGCCACACUGGGACUGAGACACGGCCCAGACUCCUACGGGAGGCAGCAGUAGGGAAUCUUCCGCAAUGGACGAAAGUCUGACGGAGCAACGCCGCGUGAGUGAUGAAGGUUUUCGGAUCGUAAAGCUCUGUUGUUAGGGAAGAACAAGUACCGUUCGAAUAGGGCGGUACCUUGACGGUACCUAACCAGAAAGCCACGGCUAACUACGUGCCAGCAGCCGCGGUAAUACGUAGGUGGCAAGCGUUGUCCGGAAUUAUUGGGCGUAAAGGGCUCGCAGGCGGUUUCUUAAGUCUGAUGUGAAAGCCCCCGGCUCAACCGGGGAGGGUCAUUGGAAACUGGGGAACUUGAGUGCAGAAGAGGAGAGUGGAAUUCCACGUGUAGCGGUGAAAUGCGUAGAGAUGUGGAGGAACACCAGUGGCGAAGGCGACUCUCUGGUCUGUAACUGACGCUGAGGAGCGAAAGCGUGGGGAGCGAACAGGAUUAGAUACCCUGGUAGUCCACGCCGUAAACGAUGAGUGCUAAGUGUUAGGGGGUUUCCGCCCCUUAGUGCUGCAGCUAACGCAU